UACGUAGGGUGCAAGCGUUGUCCGGAAUUAUUGGGCGUAAAGAGCUCGUAGGCGGUUUGUCGCGUCUGCUGUGAAAACUCGGGGCUUAACCCCGGGCCUGCAGUGGGUACGGGCUGACUAGAGUGCGGUAGGGGAGACUGGAAUUCCUGGUGUAGCGGUGAAAUGCGUAGAGAUCGGUAGGAACACCAGUGGCGAAGGCGGUCUCCUGGGGCAUUCUUGACGCUGAGACGCGAAAGCUGGGGGAGCGAACGGG
rnacentral:rRNA from 1 species